rnacentral:rRNA from 1 species
CCUACGGGUGGCUGCAGUGGGGGAUAUUGCACAAUGGAGGAACCCUUAUCCAGCGACGCCGCGUGGGUGAAGAAGCGCCUCGGCGCGUAAAGCCCUGUCAGCAGGGAAGAAAGUGACUGUACCUGAAGAAGAAGCACCGGCUAACUACGUGCCAGCAGCCGCGGUAAUACGUAGGUGGCAAGCGUUAUCCGGAUUUACUGGGUGUAAAGGGAGCGUAGACGGCUGUGCAAGUCUGAAGUGAAAGCCCGUGGCUCAACCGCGGAACUGCUUUGUAAACUGUAUAGCUUGAGUACUGGAGAGGCAGGCGGAAUUCCUAGUGUAGCGGUGAAAUGCGUAGAUAUUAGGAGGAACACCAGUGGCGAAGGCGGCCUGCUGGACAGAAACUGACGUUGAGGCUCGAAAGCGUGGGGAGCAAACAGGAUUAGAUACCCUUGUAGUC